rnacentral:rRNA from 1 species
UACGGAGGGUGCAAGCGUUAUCCGGAUUUACUGGGUUUAAAGGGUGCGUAGGUGGGUUGGUAAGUCAGUGGUGAAGUCCCCGAGCUUAACUUGGGAACUGCCAUUGAUACUAUCAGUCUUGAAUAUUGUGGAGGUCAGCGGAAUAUGUCAUGUAGCGGUGAAAUGCUUAGAUAUGACAUAGAACACCAAUUGCGAAGGCAGCUGGCUACACGAAUAUUGACACUGAGGCACGAAAGCGUGGGGAUCAAACAGG